rnacentral:rRNA from 1 species
AUGCCUGAGAGUGAGUUCCACCUGCGCAUGCGCUUGCUGCUCGAGCUGACGCAGGUGGGAACCGUGGCUGAGUACACGACGUUGUUCUGGGAGCGCCUACACCAUGUGCUGCAUCUUGACUCCAGUCUAAGCAUCAAGAGCUUUGUCCACCCGUACAUCGAUGGCUUGCGCAAGGAUAUUCAAGUAGCUGUGCACUCGCAAUCGCCAUCUAGCAUCACCAGAGCGUCCUGCCUUGCUAGAAUUAGGGAGGAAGAGAUCAUGAAGGAUGAGGCCAUGGCUGUCGAGGAGCGUGUCAAUGGCUACGACCAUGGAGUUCAUGGUCUCAUGCCUACUGAGACCCUCUGCAUCGUCUCCACCAAGCUCGAGGUCCCAGUGUUGUGCAGUGCAGAUCGCGGCGUCGACGCCAGCAGCCUUGCUGCUCCAACACCGAUCAUGUGCUCAACGGAUUACCCAAGUUGUGACGCCACCAUCGACAUCUCCCCUGAUCUUGCAACCUCUGCUAUGUGUGGCGAAGCUCUCGACACCAACACCUUUAGUGUCGCCACACCAACCCCGUGGUGGCGACCGAUUCCUUCCCUCAAGUUCGUCAUGACGACGCCCACCAGGUUUUGUUGA